rnacentral:rRNA from 1 species
AACGAACGCUGGCGGCGCGCUUAACACAUGCAAGUCGAACGAGAAGGCGUAGCAAUACGCUUGUACAGUGGCGAACGGGUGAGUAACACGUGGGUGACCUACCCUCGAGUGGGGAAUAACCCGCCGAAAGGCGGGCUAAUGCCGCGUACGCUUCCAGGUUUGCGGAUCUGGAAGGAAAGCCAUGCCGUGGGCAUGGCGCUCAAGGAUGGGCUCACGUCCUAUCAGCUUGUUGGUAGGGUAACGGCCUACCAAGGGAACGACGGGUAGCUGGUCUGAGAGGACGAUCAGCCACACUGGCACUGCGACCCGGGCCAGACUCCUACGGGAGGCAGCAGUGAGGAAUAUUGCGCAAUGGGCGAAAGCCUGACGCAGCGACGCCGCGUGGGGGAUAAAGGUCUUCGGAUUGUAAACCCCUUUCGGGAGGGAAGAUGGGACGGGCAACCGUUCGGACGGUACCUCCAGAAGCAGCCACGGCUAACUUCGUGCCAGCCGCCGCCGUAA